GAGACUUCCCCCUGCAGAUUGACCCUCUCCGGAGCUUUGACCGGCAGCCUCUCCGUCUAGGUGAGGGCCAGGUUCCCUGGCUUCGCACCAUCAAUUAUACUUGUUAAUCCAGCCAAUCAAGUCUGAGAAGCCUGUACUUUAGAUGAAAGUUCCCUAGUCUGAGGCAUCUGUAUAAAGGGGCAGUACUUCGCUGUGUGUAAAUACCACAUUUUCUUCCUCCAUUCAUCUGUUGAUGAACAUAUAGGCCACUUCCAAGACUCACAGCUGAUACUCCGAAAGACUUCUCAGUAGCCAUGGUACUGGGACUAGUGGGAACUCAUCAUUCUGAUCUUGCCAAGUGGAGCAUGACCAUCUUCAUAUUAUUUUUCCAUGUGGUAUUUCAAUUAAGGAUAACAUGCUGUGAGAAGCAGUUAAGAGGACAGCUGUCUCAUAUUUUUGUGAGAAAAGAUUUUCCAGACACCAGAACUAAUUUUAAAAGAUGGCAGAGGAGUUAACCAAGGAAAGUUGGAAAGACAAUGGAGUGGGGGUGGCACGGAGGCAUGAG
ensembl:lncRNA